rnacentral:rRNA from 1 species
GAUGAACGCUGGCGGCGUGCCUAAUACAUGCAAGUCGAGCGAACGGACGAGAAGCUUGCUUUUCUGAUGUUAGCGGCGGACGGGUGAGUAACACGUGGAUAACCUACCUAUAAGACUGGGAUAACUUCGGGAAACCGGAGCUAAUACCGGAUAAUAUUUUGAACCGCAUGGUUCAAAAGUGAAAGCGGGUUUUGCGGCAACUAAUGGAUGGACCCGCGCUGCAUUAGCUAGUUGGUAAGGUAACGGCUUACCAAGGCAACGAUGCAUAGCCGACCUGAGAGGGUGAUCGGCCACACUGGACCUGAGACACGGUCCAGACUCCUACGGGAGGCAGCAGUAGGGAAUCUUCCGCAAUGGGCGAAAGCCUGACGGAGCAACGCCGCGUGAGUGAUGAAGGUCUUCGGAUCGUAAAACUCUGUUAUUAGGGAAGAACAUAUGUGUAAGUAACUGUGCACAUCUUGACGGUACCUAAUCAGAAAGCCACGGCUAACUACGUG